AGCAGUCGCCGCGGGAAUACGUAGGGUGCAAGCGUUAAUCGGAAUAACUGGGCGUAAAGCGUGCGCAGGCGGUUUGUUAAGACAGAUGUGAAAUCCCCGGGCUCAACCUGGGGACUGCAUUUGUGACUGGCAAGCUAGAGUGUGGCAGAGGGGGGUGGAAUUCCGCGUGUAGCAGUGAAAUGCGUAGAUAUGCGGAGGAACACCGAUGGCGAAGGCAGCCCCCUGGGCCAACACUGACGCUCAUGCACGAAAGCGUGGGGAGCAAACAGGAUUAGAUACCCCAGUAGUCCCUGUCUCUUAUAC
rnacentral:rRNA from 1 species